ensembl:lncRNA
CCUUCAGGAAGGGGAGAGACGUCUCAGACAGGACGCAGGACACGAGGAGAUGUCUGGAGAGAGUGCGCCUCCUGCUGGAGAAGGGUAGGAUGCAGGCUGCGUUUGCCAUUUUGGAAAAUCCACGAGAAUUCACAAAGAGCUCAACUCUCAGCCGAAUGGCAGGAGUGUGAGCAGAACACACUGAAUGUGAGUUUCUCCACGUGGGUUACGUGUGUACGCCACCAGCAGACCACCAGCGCCUUUUAUAAUCGCACUCUACAGAAGAGGUACACAUCAAAUCUAUCACAGCCUGAAGAGCACUGGCUUGUAUUUUUGGCAGUUUUAUGGUGUACAGUAUAUCAGAUGUUGACAUGUUUUAAAGUUGUCAUGGUUAAUUUAUUCACCACUGUCUGCACCACACAGAGCUGCAAGUCAUUUUUGGUGACACUUAACAUUACGAUUAUGUUACUUAACAUUAAUAUGCGUAACUUUGCAAGUACAUGUCAUCUUAUUCUACUAACCCUUAUCGAACAAUCUACAAAUAUUGUAAUGAGAGUUAAUUGACAUGUAGUUGCAAAGUUACUUAUAGUUAGUAGAAUGUCUGAAGUGGACUAUCAAAAUAAAGUUUAACCAAAAUGAAUUUUCUGUAAAUAU